GGAGUUAGCCGGUGCUUCUUCUGUGAGUGAUGUCCUUCCUGCCGGCUAUUAACCCGCAGGCCUUCUUCCUCACUGAAAGUGCUUUACAACCCGAAGGCCUUCUUCACACACGCGGCAUGGCUGGAUCAGGGUUGCCCCCAUUGUCCAAUAUUCCCCACUGCUGCCUCCCGUAGGAGUCUGGGCCGUGUCUCAGUCCCAGUGUGGCUGAUCAUCCUCUCAGACCAGCUACGGAUCGUCGCCUUGGUGAGCCGUUACCUCACCAACCAGCUAAUCCGACAUAGGCUCAUCCGAUAGCGCGAGGCCCGAAGGUCCCCCGCUUUCCCCCGUAGGGCGUAUGCGGUAUUAGCCUGGGUUUCCCCAGGUUAUCCCCCACUACCGGGCAGAUUCCUAUGCAUUACUCACCCGUCCGCCGCUCGCCACCAGGGAGCAAGCUCCCCGUGCUGCCGCUCGACUUGCAUGUGUUAGGCCUGCCGCCGACGACGUUCUAACUACUCGUAGCCGACUGAGUCAAACCUAACCUUCGACGUACGAGGCGGGGCGGUCGGCGAACGGACGGGCCAUAAG
rnacentral:rRNA from 1 species